AGUGAACGCUGGCGGUAGGCCUAACACAUGCAAGUCGAACGGCAGCACAGUAAGAGCUUGCUCUUACGGGUGGCGAGUGGCGGACGGGUGAGGAAUACAUCGGAAUCUACUUUUUCGUGGGGGAUAACGUAGGGAAACUUACGCUAAUACCGCAUACGACCUACGGGUGAAAGCAGUGGAUCUUCGCACCUUGCGCGAUUGAAUGAGCCGAUGUCGGAUUAGCUAGUUGGCGGGGUAAAGGCCCACCAAGGCGACGAUCCGUAGCUGGUCUGAGAGGAUGAUAAGCCACACUGGAACUGAGACACGGUCCAGACUACUAAGGGAGGCAGCAGUGGGGAAUAUUGGACAAUGGGCGCAAGCCUGAUCCAGCCAGACCGCGUGGGUGAAGAAGGCGUUCGGGUUGUAAAGACCUUUUGUUGGGAAAGAAAAGCAGCAGGUUAAGACCACGCUGUUCUGACGGUAACCAAAGAAUAAGCACCGGCUAACUUCGUG
rnacentral:rRNA from 1 species